ensembl:snRNA U4 U4 spliceosomal RNA
UUCUUUGUAGCAGUAUCGUAGCCUAUGAGGCUUAGCCAAAGCACAACUAUUGCUUGUUGAAAAUUUUUCCCAAUACCCGCCUCCACCGAUUUGAAAUACAAUCAGUGAAAGCAAUUUUUGUCUCGUAAGAGA